rnacentral:rRNA from 1 species
GACGAACGCUGGCGGCGUGCUUAACACAUGCAAGUCGAUCGGAAAGGCCCUGCUUUUGUGGGGUGCUCGAGUGGCGAACGUGUGAGUAACACGUCAGUAACCUCCCCUUGACUGUUGGAUGACUUCAGGAAACUGGGUCUAAUCCCGGGUAGGAGCUCCUGCUGCCUUGUGGGGGUUGGAAAGUUUCGGCGGUUGGGGAUGGACUCGCGCCUUAUCAGCUUGUUGGUGGGGUAGUGGCUUACCAAGGCUUUGACGGGUAGCCGGCCUGAGAGGGUGACCGGCCACAUUGGGACUGAGAUACGGCCAAGACUCAUACGGGAGGCAGCAGUGGGCAAUCUUGCGAAAUGGGGGGAAGUCCGAGGCAGGAACGACGAGUGCGGGAUGACGGACCUCGGGUUGUAAAACGCCUUCGAAUGUGACGAAGGGUGAGUGACGGUAAUGGGUACAGAGGAACGGGCUCCCUACGUG